rnacentral:snRNA from 1 species
GUUCUCGCUUCAGCAGCACUUGCACUAAAAUUGAAACGAUCUAGAGAAGGUUAGCAUGGCCCCUGUGUGAGGAUGACACAAGAUUUGUGAUUUUGUUGUUUUU